rnacentral:rRNA from 1 species
GACGUAGGAUGCAAGCGUUAUCCGGAAUGAUUGGGCGUAAAGCGUCUGUAGGUGGCUUUUUAAGUCCGCCGUCAAAUCCCAGGGCUCAACUCUGGACAGGCGGUGGAAACUACCAAGCUGGAGUACGGUAGGGGCAGAGGGAAUUUCCGGUGGAGCGGUGAAAUGCGUUGAUAUCGGCUGGAACUCCGAUGGCGAAGGCAAGGUGCUGGACCCUCUCUGACGCUGAGGCGCGAAAGCCAGGGGAGCGAACGGG